UGGGGAAUUUUGGACAAUGGGCGAAAGCCUGAUCCAGCAAUGCCGCGUGUGUGAAGAAGGCCUUCGGGUUGUAAAGCACUUUUGUCCGGAAAGAAAUCCUUGGCUCUAAUACAGUCGGGGGAUGACGGUACCGGAAGAAUAAGCACCGGCUAACUACGUGCCAGCAGCCGCGGUAAUACGUAGGGUGCAAGCGUUAAUCGGAAUUACUGGGCGUAAAGCGUGCGCAGGCGGUUUGCUAAGACCGAUGUGAAAUCCCCGGGCUCAACCCGGGAACUGCAUUGGUGACUGGCAGGCUAGAGUAUGGCAGAGGGGGGUAGAAUUCCACGUGUAGCAGUGAAAUGCGUAGAGAUGUGGAGGAAUACCGAUGGCGAAGGCAGCCCCCUGGGCCAAAUACUGACGCUCAUGCACGAAAAGCGUGGGGAGCAAAACAGGAUUAGAUACCCUGGUAGUCCACGCCCUAAAACGAUGUCAACUAGUUGUUGGGGAUUCAUUUCCUUAGUAACGUAGCUAAACGCGUGAAAGUUGACCGCCUGGGGGAGUACGGUCGCAAAGAUUAAAAACUCAAAGGAAUUGACGGGGUCAUAGCUGUUUCCU
rnacentral:rRNA from 1 species